GCCGGUGUCAAACCGGAGGAAGGUGGGGAUGACGUCAAGUCCUCAUGGCCCUUAUGACCAGGGCUACACACGUGCUACAAUGGCCGGUACAAAGAGUUGCGAUACCGCGAGGUGGAGCUAAUCUCAUAAAGCCGGUCUCAGUUCGGAUUGGAGUCUGCAACUCGACUCCAUGAAGUUGGAAUCGCUAGUAAUCGCGGAUCAGCACGCCGCGGUGAAUACGUUCCCGGGCCUU
rnacentral:rRNA from 1 species